rnacentral:lncRNA from 1 species
AUAGGCAGCAGUGGCCUUGUUAGCACCACCAUGGGUGCUUCUGGCACUGGGCUGAACAUGGGAGGAACAGCCACUAUUGGCCACAUGAGGAGCUCCUCUGACCAUCACUUUAGUCAGACAGUUGGAUCUGCCUCCCCCAGCAUGGCUCGAAGUCGAAUCACAAAGUACAAUACGGUACAGUAUAGCAAGUAGUCAUGAUUACAGAGUAUUGUUCACCACCAUCUCAGUGACUUACAUCCAACUCCUGCCUCCAAAUCUAACAGUGCAAUUUAUGAUACAGAGCAGGCUAUGGGAGACCUGUGGAGUAAGAAAGAGCCACAGUGAUAGUAACCCAUGGAAACAUCACCAUGGGGAAGAGUGCUCCCUAGCAUUGGUAAACUUUUUUCUUAUAUUGACACUGAUAAAAUAAUGAAGGUGAACUUGAGGUACAAUCUUAUCUGUGGCUAUGUGGUCCACAGGGUUGUUUUUGGUUUUAGGUUUUUAAUGUUGCCCUGUAGGGUAUCAGCAGCAUGUUGAAUAUAUAAAACGUGGCUACAUAAAAGCACUGGCUUUAAAUGGCAAUGAGAAGAAUUCUUAUUGCUGUUCAGAAAUUAACAAAAAGGGUUUGAAUAUGUAGCUUGAGCUCACAUAGGUGAGGAAAAUCUGACAUUUCCUUCCCAUAUGCCCUGUCUGUUUCACAGGGAAUACAAAUUAAAAAUCAUUCCACAGAUUCAGGCUAAGGUUAAUAAAAUUCUAACUACAAAGUUAUGUAUGUAAGAUACCAGUUAUUAUUACUGUGACAACAUCCAAUCUACAUUGGAUGGAAUAAUUUUCAAAUUAAGAAAUAUGUCCUGUUAGAAAAGUCCAUAGACAGUAACAAUAUUGCGAGACUCAUUUGGCACAAACUGACACUGAAUCUCAAGAUGUGGUUUAGUUAAGUCCCCUGUGGAGUUGGGAACUUUCCUGGCUCCCACUGUGUUUCAUGGGUGUGACUCUGAAGAAUAUUGCUUACUGGGUGGAUGAAGGGCACCAUGCUCAUUUUUGCCUUUACCACUGUAGUUGAAGGGAGAGUUGCAAAUGACACAUGACAUGGCUGCCCUCCCAAGUGUUAAAUCUCCUCCCAAGUACAGACAGGACAGUAUUAUCUCUUCAGUCUAAGCAGUAAGUCAUACUCGUUUCUGUGCAGCUCUUUAGGGCAUAAAUGCAUAGUUAAGAUAAUGUACCUAAGCUGAGCUGUUGGGAAGAAGCUCACAGUAUGGCUAAGCAUUGGGGUAAUUUUUCAUGGGUAUCUGAAGAAGGGGAACUGUUUUUAGAACAUGAAAGCUGUCUUAAGUGGGAAAUGUUAGAAAAUAAUUGUUCUGUAAAGCAUACGAUAUCACCAUAUGAUGAGAUAUAGUUGAGAUUAGUGUCAUCAUUUGAAUGACCCUCUGCUGCCAUUUGGAAGUGAUUAAACAGGACCUUUUACUAGAAUUGAUAUUACUUUAGAAAGAAUGAUGUAGUUACUAGACAAGGCCAUUCCUUAUCUAAAAUGUGUUAUGCACACAUCUUUGAGGUUUCUCUUUGAUUUGUUAAUAAUGUCUUGGCUUCUAAGCAUUCUACCUUAAAGACAGUUUACAAGUUAUAGUAUGGUAUAUUUUUCUAGCUUUGAAAUGUGCUAUUUAUGAUGUGUUGUUUCUGUAUUUUUGUCAACUGGUGUUCCCUGGUUUAAAGCCCCUCAGAAGAAUCAAAGCUUUUGAGGACACAGGUGCACUUACUAUUGCAGGGUAAAGGAAUCUUUUCUUGCUUUUAAAUCAAUGUUAAAAUAAGCUCACUAAUAUAAAAUGAUAUAUACAUGUUUAUUUGGCCAUAUAUAUAUGAACAUGGAAAAUACUGGACCUGAGUUGUGAACUAUAUAUAGUUUUUAAAGAUGUGUUCAUCCCCUGACUUUUCUUUUCUCAUGGUAUCACAGAAUCACAGAAUUUAUCAAAGAGUGAUUGAUUACUCCCGCAAGAGCUACUUUGUUCUAUAUAAUAUUGGAUAUGGCAAAUGUUUUAAAGGCCACACUAUGUCUAAUUUUAACAGUAUAGAAAAUGUACAGUUUUGCUAACAUGAAGCAAGCAAAAAUGCAGAGGCAUAAAUAAAGUCACUCACAGG